AAGAAGAAGAAGAAGAAGAAGAAGAAGAAGAAGAAGAAGAAGAAGAAGAAGAAGAAGAAGAAGAAGAAGAAGAAGAAGAAGAAGAAGAAAAAGAAGUAGAGGAUGAACAAGAUGAACAAAUGAAGGACGAAGAAGGAGAAGAAGUAGAAGAGGAAGAGAAAGACGAUGAACAGGAUGAAGAAUUUUACAGUGACGAUAACGAAACACUUGACAAUUGUGAUGACGAACAAGCCAACGAUGAUGAUGAUAAUAAUGAUAUUGAUUGUGACACAGGAUAUUUAGGAGAUAACGAUAAUGACGAUGUGAUUUCAGACGAAGUAUUUAGUAAAGUUUUAAAACAAUUAAUAACAUUAAAAUCAAAGAAAAAACAGUCGCAAGUUAUUCCUUCAGCUAAAAAAUUUCUCAGAUUAAAUAUGAAAUUUAAAGAUAAAUCGAAACAACAGAAAGAAUUUAUUACAUCUGAUUGGUUUUGUUGAGAAAGGAAAAGUUCCGAUUGAUAUAUCAGUAGACAACAAACAUCUCUUGCGACAUUUAGUCGACAUACGUACGCCACGACAAGACGUGGAAGUAUUCUUAGUUGAGGAUCUUCGCACGCACGCCCCUGUACAUGAAGUAAUAGAUCUCAUUGACGCUGAGAAUGGGCGAACGGGUAAAAGAGCUAAGACUCGUUGACUCGGAACGAUUUAAUCGUCUUAUCUCAGCAUUGCAACAAUCGGUAGAACGUAAAAAUAUUGUAGAUCAAGCGACAACAUCGCGUGAAGAACAGGAUUAUGUACGAAGUUAUCACGAUGCAAUGCGAAGUGUGAAAAAUAAAAAUCCAUUAGCUGGUAGUGACAUUGUGAAUUAUAUGAAUAAAAAGGACAAACUAAAGCAAUUCCUUGCAGCACAGGCGCAUCUUCCCAAACCUCCUGAACCCGAUGAUUCUCAAACCGGCAUGUCACCGAAAAAACGACGUGCAUUACGUCCCGCAGUAUCCGUUGAAGGCUCGAAAAAUAGAAUAUUGGAUUUUUUUAAAGAGAAAGGUAUCAAGAAAAAUUCGUCAUCGGGUAAUUUAGAAUACAAGGGAAAUAGAAUAAAUGUACCCUACGAUGAUCUGGUGUACGAUCUUACACACGAUUUUACAGCCACAGAGCCAAAUCUUAGCCAAAGAGAACAACAUCUGGCUUUAAAAACCUUAAGAAAAUUGGGUAUGCCAGGUUCACUUUUUCGUAGUAAACGAUUACGAAAAGCCUAUACUAACAUAAGACAGGGCGGUAUGAGCAGUUCGGAAAG